rnacentral:sRNA from 1 species
UGCGCAGGGCGGUCAUCGCAGAAUCCAAACUGCGAAAGUGACGCGGAACGCCAAGAAGCGUGCAGUGGUUUUGCGGGCGAUGCCGGUAGAAAAGAAUCUACAUACCGGAACAGACCGGACUAAAAAAGGCGUAGGUUAACUAUCAAGUGCCGUGUUCGUAUCACGUAAAAAAGACGUAGCGUUGGUAGUGCUGGCAUCUGCAGCGUUCUUUGGGUAAAUAAAUUGGAAGCGGGCCGUCUGUGAAACCACCACAGGCGGUUUUGC